ACAUGAAUUGACUGAGUACAUAUCAAGUCUUACACUGUAUACUUCACAUGCACUAACUCUCCUACUCUUCACAACAAGCAUGCAAGGUGGGAAAAUAGAGGCUGAGAGAAAUUGAGUAACUUGCCUCAAGCCAUAUAUUCGGCACCGAGAUGUGAUCUGAGCCAGAGCCAACAACUGAGGUCCAAACAGCGUGCCUUGCGCAAGGCCACACAAGAGAUAAUGGCAUUGGCUGUACCAGUGGCCCAGAUCCUUCACCUGCAGAAGAGCUUCCCAGAGAGGAGCAAGCCUUCCUGCCGUCACCUCUGGUGUCAUCCUAUAGGACAUUAAAACCAACUCAAGAUUGUGUUGAAAACUGUUUUCCUUUUGAGGAUGCUAAUAAGAACAAGAUCAUAUCAACGGGUAUGGAUCAUGGCAGGAUUUUCCUUCAGCUGAGUCUUUUAAUGAGCCGUUUCAUAAUGAGGGCUGAAUCUACACACAGUAUCUACAUGC
rnacentral:lncRNA from 1 species